AUGUAAAAUGACUCUCGGCAACGGAUAUCUCGGCUCUUGCAUCGAUGAAGAACGUAGCGAAAUGCGAUACUUGGUGUGAAUUGCAGAAUCCCGUGAACCAUCGAGUCUUUGAACGCAAGUUGCGCCCAAAGCCAUUAGGCUGAGGGCACACCUGCCUGGGUGUCACAC
rnacentral:rRNA from 1 species